UGCAACUCAAACAGUAUAGUUAUACUGCAACUGCAUUGUCCUUUAUCUCGGCAAUUUCAACCAGUGCAGCAAAAUGUAUAUAUACAUAGUGUCGUAAACAUAUUGAAUACAAUUUCAAAAUUACAGAGUCUCAACAUUCAGAUUUUAAAACAUACAAAUCUCAAAACUCGAAUAUGAAGGUUUGAAAAUUUGAAAAUUUUUAAAACACGAAUUUACAAAUUUAAUAAUUUUUAAGCUCAAAUUUCAAAGUUUUAAAAGCUGAAUUUGGAGAUAAGAAUGGGUUUGACAAGUAUGUCAAGUUUUUGCCGUGAGGGUUGCGGUUGUUGAGAAGAAGGUGGCGGAGGUGGAAGAGGGCCAUCAGUUACCGCUGCAUCCUGUUGAGGUGAUGUUCUUGGCGGCUCUGAAACAUUGUUACUCUCGAAGAAAUUUUGAAAUAACCUCAAAGAGACCUGGAAACGUCGCACCUCGUCUGAUCUCCUGUUCUCGUCAAUGUUAAACCACGUAACCGGAAGCUGAAAACUUACCUAGCGUACGGAAGACGAUCGGUCGACUUCGAAACUUUUUGCCAGCUCUGACGGCGGUGACGACAAGUUGAUACUGUGUGUCAGCCCUAAGGCCGCUGAGUGUAACCGCUUCGCUGUUUCCUGCGACCACCGCCACCACCCUAGAUGAAAAUAGUUAACAAGAAACUGUCAAGAACUCAAUAUCUCCUGUACGUGGUACUCAAUCUCCUUUCCCGACAUUUAAUUUCCGGGAAAGAUUAUUUUCUCUGCAAAGCAACCAAGAUAAAGAGAAAAUAAGAGUACGGAGACGAUGCAUAAUGCGAUUUGAAAAUGGAAUCUCGUUAAUGGUCAAAGGUUACGAGCAAUACAAACAGUAAUGAAUGUGAUACUAAUAAACGUUUACCUAGAAAUUGCAUCUUUAAUAUCACCAGAGUGUAAUCAUGCUUUUUUGCUGAAAAAUGAAUUCAGUGCACAGAAGAGCGCCUCAAAAAAUAAGUAAUAGGAAAAGGUGCUUUUCUACAGAACGUAUGUUUACGGUGCAUAGAUUUGGAAAGCUGUGCACUGAUUUAACUUCUUCAUGGAUAUCAACACAUUCGUUCAUAGAUUUGAGUACAGUAUCGGGCAUAGUAGCCUUUCCUAGGGGAAAUGGCGUUAGAAGGAAACUAGGGAAGUCUACCAUGUUCAGUGCUGUACGUAUUUAGGUUUAUACUGAUAUAUUCAGAGCUAACUAGGUACAGUGGUUCGCACAGAUAUUUGGACACCACAGCAGAGAGAAAUGUAUUAAUGCACUAGAGUAUGCAAUUAAUAAUAGUGGUGAAGAUUAUUUUGUAGGAGAUGACGAAUGGAUAUUGAUAAUAUAAGAUAGAUCGUCAAUAAGAUUCCGAGCAAUUUGUAGACCUCUAACACAGAACCUUGAGUUUACGACCCGCUUGUUUACCAUUGCUUCGAAAGUGUGAUAAAUAAACAGAAUAGUUGACCUGGAAUAAAGUGUUUCUUUGUACUAAGGAAAUGUUGAUCGAAGAAGUGUUAAUUAAAAUCGAUAUAGGUGCAGUAGGAGAAAGCACAUAUGAAAUAUCGAAAUCCGGAAACGCACCUGGCAUCUGUUGGCUUGUACGUGACGUCGUAUUUCUCCACUUGCUCCACUUGGCUGGUGCUCCAAGAUACGCGGAC